AUACCGGCGGCCCGAGUGGUGGCCGCUAUUAUUGGGCCUAAAGCGUCCGUAGCCGGGCCCGUAAGUCCCUGGCGAAAUCCCACGGCUCAACCGUGGGGCUUGCUGGGGAUACUGCGGGCCUUGGGACCGGGAGAGGCGGGGGGUACCCCUGGGGUAGGGGUGAAAUCCUAUAAUCCCAGGGGGACCGCCAGUGGCGAAGGCGCCCCGCUGGAACGGGUCCGACGGUGAGGGACGAAGGCCAGGGGAGCGAACCGGAUUAGAAACCCCUGUAGUCC
rnacentral:rRNA from 1 species